UUCGUAAAGGAACCUUCCAGAUAGACGAACACUGAAGACAGCCUUCGGAGCUCCUGGAUUCCUAAAGCAUGAAAAUUUAUGGAGACUAUGCAUCCCAUGAUCCCAUGUCCACAGGGUCAAAGAGCCGCUCUCGCUCUGAGGAAACUACGCGCUUUUAAAUUCUUGGAGGUACCACGUGACGUCCGCUUGCGCCCUUCCGCACAACCCCUACGCAGAAGUAAAAAAAAAUAUUUAAAAAUAUAUAUAUAUAGCUAAGUUAGUUUCAAACUAAGUACAGAUUCCAAGGACAAAUGGUUCUUAAUGCGCUGGCGAGUCCGGCUGGAUCGCGGAAACCAAGACUUCUACAAAGGGAAGAAUUCUGUCCAUAAUUUUGUGAAUUAUUAUACAUGGACAUCUAUCAAGCUCACAGGAAUAUGCUUUCAGAGGAAAUUAGAUAUGUGGCAUUUUAAAAUCCCUUUAUGGAUGGCAUAUCUAUUGCUCCUGUUCUGUGGCCUCGCCUAUUCCUGUGGAAGUGCAGAAUAUAAAAUUAAUGGGAAGUGCUGUCCAAUGUGUGCACCUGGGGCGCGUGUUUAUAAGCACUGCACGGAAUACACUAGCACCUCCUGUGUACCUUGCCCUCAGAAAUCAUUUAAUGACGAGCCCAAUGGUCGCCUGAACUGUUAUCGUUGCACAGGGUGUGACCCAGACUUGGGUUUAAAAACAUACAGGGAGUGCACCCCCUACUCUGACACAGUGUGUGGGCCUCUGGAUCACCACUACUGCACUGAGACCGAUUAUAAGGGGUGCAGAUUUGCACGGAAACACACCAUCUGCGGGCUUGGACAAUUCAUCAAAAAAGAAGGGACAAAAACUGCGGAUACACAGUGUGAAGAGUGUCCACAUGGUUAUUUCUCAGCUGAUGGUGUCAAGUGCACAGAAUGGACAAAGCUGGAUCACGGAAACCAGGAACUCCACAAAGGGAAGAAAUCUGACCAUAAUUUUGUGUAUUACGACAGAUGGACAUCUAUCAAGCUCACAGCAUAUCUAUUGCUCCUGUUCUGUGGCCUCGCCUAUUCCUGUGGAAGUGCAGAAUAUAAAAUUAAUGGGAAGUGCUGUCCAAUGUGUGCACCUGGGACACGUGUUUAUAAACACUGCACAGAGUACACUAGCACCUCCUGUAUACCGUGCAUUCAAAAGUCAUUCAUCGCCGUUUCCAACAAUCUGCCCAAUUGUUUCUCUUGUACAGUGUGUAAGCCAGACUUGGGUUUAAAAACAGAGAGAGAGUGCACCCCCACCUCUGACACAGUGUGUGGGCCUCUGGAUCACCACUACUGCACUAAGACUGAUAAUAAGGGGUGCAGCUUUGCGCAGAAACACACCAUCUGCAGGCCUGGACAGUUCAUCAUACACAACGGAACAACAUCGACUAAUACCGAAUGUGGAUACUGUCCUGAUAAAACUUUUUCAAAUGAAUCCUUUUCUGCGUACUGCAAACCACACAGAGAUUGCCAGUCCUUGAGACUUCAGGAAAUUACAGCAGGAACAACCACAUCGGAUAGUGAAUGUGGACCAAGAAAUAUUCCUUUUUACAUCGUUAUUUUGUGUCUUGUGUCUGUGCUGCUUGCUCCAGCUGUUAUUUUAGCAAUUAUUUUCAUUUUAAUUAAGUUCCUCCCUCUAUCUGGUAAGACUUUGAAUUUUAUUUUUAAUUAACUUGUAAAUGGUGAUGCAGUUUGAAUAGCAGUUUAAGGUUGGCUGUGCCACACACAUUUUGUGAAUUGAAAUCCUUGUAUUUAUACAAGAGAUAUGAGUGGAUAGCAUAUUAAAUAUUUAAUAAUUAAUCAGGGAAUUCAAAAAGGAAAAGUAAUAUACCAUGUAGUACUCCAUUGGUUAAUUGGUGAUAUUCAAUGUUAAAGAAUUAAACGAGAAAAUAAAAAAGGAAAGGUAAUAAUUUUAUGUUAUAUUUUCAAGUUAUUAAAACAAAUUUAAUGUAGUUAUCAAGUAAUUGAAUAAUGAACCAUUAUUUUGCUUUCAGGGAGCAGAAGGCAGAACGUGGAAACGGGAAGUGAUGAUGAACAGGAUAGAACAGCUGUAGAAUGAUGGGUUGCAAGGAGGGCUGGAGCUGAUCCCAGCAUGUGGGCAAGAGGCAGGAAUAUACCCUAGACCGGCUGCCAAUCCAACGCAGGACACUCACAGCAUUCACUCACGCAGUCAUGCCUAAAGGCAAUUUAUCACAAUCUUCAUGUCUUUGAACUAUGGGAGGAAACUGUAUCAGAAGGAAACCCACAGCGACAUGGAGAGAAAAUGAGUCCACACAGAAAGGUGAUCCUAAUGACCUGGACUGUGCAUUUUUUACUAUGUGCAAUAAAUGGUUGGAGAUCCUGCAUAGUCACUGCGUGGAAUAGCUUACCAGGCCAUGUCGUACAGGAAGAAACGGGGUUUUCAAGAGCAGGCUUGAUAUGGUGCAGGAUGCUAUCUAGUUUCUAGAUAAACCAAGCACCAGGUGAACUUUAGUAGUAGGAAAAUGGUGAGCAAUCCUAGCCCUUAUCUUUCAGUGGACAAAUGCCAACUAUGGAGCAAAUCCAUUAACAGAACUCGUCUCUGGAAGCAUGCAGACCAAACAAGGAUGAAAUCAGUCAUUGUUGCUGACAGGAGGGCUGAGCUCCGCUCAUACAACGCACUCACGCCAUUUGGUCAGCUGUUCCGCGCAACAGGCGCCAUCUGAGGAAAAACUCCAAAUCAGACCCCAGAUCCGAAGCGACUGGGGGAGGCCAAGAAUCGACAGCGAAUGCACGGAGCCAGAGAACCUGCCAGCAUAGGCUCCACAGCACACCUGCAACCAGAGUUCACCUGUGGUGGGUCUCAGCAGAAGCAGUCCAGCUGUUGUGCCUCCUGGCAGGUACAAAGACUUGAGGCAAUACUGAAGCUUGCGCUCUACCAACCUGUGCUUGACCCUCUGACCCUAUCUGAGCAUUAAAAAAGGAGUUUUCAUAUGAGAGACUAACUAGCAAGGUACUUAACCGAAAUUGCUUCAGUAUAUAUCCAGCUGUAUAAAUGGAUACAAUGUAAAAUGCUAUGUAAAAGUUGUGUACGUCGCUCUGGAUAAGAGCGUCUGCUAAAUGCCUGUAAUGUAAUGUAAUGUAACUAUAGGAAAAAAAUAUACAGCAAAUCAAGAUGGAAAACUGAGCUGACUGCUGUUUUAACUUAAACUUCUACUUUAUGUCACUGGAAGCUUCCUUUAUUCUCCUGGAGUUAACUAUUAUUUUAGGUCAUUUGUGUCCUAUUUCGAUAGUGUAAUCCACUCUAAAUGGCUUGGUACACAGUGCUGUUUUGUAUGCUGUUUCUUGUUUCAUGGAUAAAAGAUG